UAUUCGUAUUCACCAAGAGUGCCACUUGCUCUGAUAGGAUUCUGAGCUUCUCUAAUACUUCCUCGUUGGAAGGUUUUUGGCGCUUCUCUUGAGGAAAAAAGCUUUUGGGAGUUACGCCAAAUCCUUUCCCCCUCACUCGACCGAAAUACUCAGGGACAUUAAACACUUUCCCAAGAAUGUCCCUGCAAGUAUCCUUGUUGCCCUCUUGAGUUUCAGAACUUUGUUCAAUAAUUUCCUAAAAUACAUGUAACAUUAAAAAGAUAAGUUCAAUAGCAUUUUUAAAAUACAAUAUUAAAAAAUUAUUAAAGUAAUAACAUACUUACACAAAGUUGUACAACUUUUUUGACAUUUUCAUUAUCAACCACUCCUUCUUUAUUAACACGCGCUUCCUUCCACAAUAUAUGACGACCCAAGGGUUGAUC
rnacentral:lncRNA from 1 species